rnacentral:tRNA from 1 species
GGGCGCAUAGCUCAGGGGUAGAGCGCUCGCUUUGCACCGCCGGCAGCCACGAGUUUCCUAAUAGGUGUGCGAGAGGUCGUGGGGUAUGUUGGCUUCUAGAACCUGCAUUGUCCGAGAGAUCAUACAUUAACAGAUAUCAAAGUUCGAAUCCCACUGUGUCCA